GGGGAUGAUCGGCCUAGACAGGCGGUCAACUCUGGUCAGUGCUAUGCCGAGAAUGUUCAAGACCUCGUUAAAUCUUGAAUACACAAGUAUGUGCAAAAAACACACUUGCAAAAGCUAAGGCUAUCGUAUCACCAUACUUUGGUGCUAACGCCUUCGCUCCUGCUUACGCUCUCGUAGCCUAAACAGCAUUCACAUUCAGUACGCCCUCUAGGGAAUCGUGGGUGAUAUAAAAAGAGGGCUCAUCAUUUGGAAUGACUCUACCAAAUGAAAAAACAAAGAGUAUCGGUUGUGUAUGAUUUGGAAUACUUUAUACAUACACUCCUUAAAUUAAGCCUAGCUUAAAAAUAAGUAUUCUACGCAUAGUAGACUCUAGCCAGAACAUCGUCUGCACGGGGGUUCGAUUCCCCCCAUCUCCACAA
rnacentral:tmRNA from 1 species